UCCGUAGGUGAACCUGCGGAGGGAUCAUUACCGGGUUUACAACUCCCAAACCCCUGUGAACAUACCAAUUGUUGCCUCGGCGGAUCAGCCCGCUCCCGGUAAAACGGGACGGCCCGCCAGAGGACCCCUAAACUCUGUUUCUAUAUGUAACUUCUGAGUAAAACCAUAAAUAAAUCAAAACUUUCAACAACGGAUCUCUUGGUUCUGGCAUCGAUGAAGAACGCAGCAAAAUGCGAUAAGUAAUGUGAAUUGCAGAAUUCAGUGAAUCAUCGAAUCUUUGAACGCACAUUGCGCCCGCCAGUAUUCUGGCGGGCAUGCCUGUUCGAGCGUCAUUUCUCAACCCUCAAGCCCCCGGGUUUGGUGUUGGGGAUCGGCGAGCCCUUGCGGCAAGCCGGCCCCGAAAUCUAGUGGCGGUCUCGCUGCAGCUUCCAUUGCGUAGUAGUAAAACCCUCGCAACUGGUACGCGGCGCGGCCAAGCCGUUAAACCCCCAACUUCUGAAUGUUGACCUCGGAUCAGGUAGGAAUACCCGCUGAACUUAAGCAUAUCAAUAAGCGGAGGA
rnacentral:rRNA from 1 species